rnacentral:lncRNA from 1 species
CUUGUGCUGGAUGCUUUAACUCAUGGGUCUGGGUCAUGGGGGGAGACCCGCCCUGAGGAGGGGGAUCAGGGACGCUCACUGUGAAUAAGAAACUCCUCUGUGGAGUUUCAUCCACAAAGGGGGACUGUGUUUUAUUCCAAAGGUUCUCUCCAGUCUGGCUUCAGUCCCUGGUGCUCUCUGUUGCUGUGUGGACCAGUAAGUCCUCUGUAGGGUCCAGGGUCUUUG